rfam:Ovis aries breed Texel chromosome 13, whole genome shotgun sequence.
UCCCAGGUGACUGAGUGGUAAAGACUCCGCCUGCCAAUGCGGAAGACUCAGGAGACCCAGGUUCGAUCCCUGGGUUGGGAA